GAUGAACGCUGGCGGCGUGCCUAAUACAUGCAAGUCGAGCGAAUGGAUCAAGAGCUUGCUCUUAUGAAGUUAGCGGCGGACGGGUGAGUAACACGUGGGUAACCUGCCCAUAAGACUGGGAUAACUCCGGGAAACCGGGGCUAAUACCGGAUAACAUUUUGAACCGCAUGGUUCGAAAUUGAAAGGCGGCUUCGGCUGUCACUUAUGGAUGGACCCGCGUCGCAUUAGCUAGUUGGUGAGGUAACGGCUCACCAAGGCAACGAUGCGUAGCCGACCUGAGAGGGUAGUCGGCCACACUGGGACUGAGACACGGCCCAGACUCCUACGGGAGGCAGCAGUAGGGAAUCUUCCGCAAUGGACGAAAGUCUGACGGAGCAACGCCGCGUGAGUGAUGAAGGCUUUCGGGUCGUAAAACUCUGUUGUUAGGGAAGAACAAGUGCUAGUUGAAUAAGCUGGCACCUUGACGGUACCUAACCAGAAAGCCACGGCUAACUACGUGCCAGCCGCCGCCGUAA
rnacentral:rRNA from 1 species